CGUCCGAUGGCGACCGGCGCACGGGUGAGUAACGCGUAGUCCAACCUGCCCUGUACAGGGGGACAACACUUAGAAAUAGGUGCUAAUACCGCAUAACGGGGGGAGCCGCAUGGCACCCCCCUGAAAACUCCGGUGGUACAGGAUGGGCCCGCGUCUGAUUAGCCAGUUGGUGGGGUAACGGCCCACCAAAGCGACGAUCAGUAGCCGGCCUGAGAGGGUGAACGGCCACAUUGGGACUGAGACACGGCCCAAACUCCUACGGAAGGCAGCAG
rnacentral:rRNA from 1 species